AGCCCUGGGCUUGUGUCUAAGCGAAGCGAGAGUGGCGGCGACACAGAGCGAGGAGCGGGGGCAGCAAGAUCCAGUGGUGGGAAUUCCCUUUCAGGGACGGGGCGCUCGCCUGGACACUGCGGAGCGGACGGCGGACAGCGGGCGGCGGGCGGCAGGAGAUGGGCAAUACCCCCGGGAUCGCAUCGCUCAAGGACCCAGACGACUUCUUCUGAGGAUUAACAGGAGAGGAGAAAGGGCUCUCCCCGGAACGGGGGUCUAGCGCUGGACGGAACAUGGCGUGCAGAAUUCCGAGCCCGAGCUAAGAGGUGGCGGGGGUGGUCUGCUCAAACCACCACCCCCUCCCACCCUCCCCGACCCCUCCUGCACCCAGCCCGCUGAAGAGAUGGAUCUGCCCUCGACACUCACCCUGCUACACUUACAGCUUGCACUCUUCCUGCUCCGCUCGACCCUCACCAAGGUACCGACCCGCCCCUCACUGAUUCCUCGAGAAGCUCGGCAGCAGGCAAGCCAAGCCAUGAUGUGGAUGGACGUGUACUGGCGGUCGGUGUGCCAGACCCGCGAGACGCUGGUGGCCAUCAACAGCGAGUACCCCAACGAGGUGGAGUACAUCUUCGUGCCCUCCUGUGUCCUUCUCACCCGCUGCUCCGGAUGCUGUAACGACGAGCAGCUCCAGUGUGUCCCGACGAACACUGACACCGUCCUCAUGCAGAUCUUGAAGGUGAAGCACCAGACGAGCCAGCUGGUGGAGAUGUCCUUCGUCCAUCACAGACGCUGUGAUUGUAGACCAAAGAAAGAUAUAAAACGCAUCCUCACGAGAGGUCCCCUGACAGGAAAGCUGCCUUGCAGCCGGGCCAGCGAGAGAGGCAGGGCUGCGGAGGGUCAGCGCCAUUCCCCUCAAUCCUGUUCCACGCACGCCAGCAGACGGCGGGGCGGUGUACCCAGGAGUAGAACAUUCCGGACGAAAGACGGGCAGAGGACAUCGGAAAAAACCCUGGAAAAUGGCACCGGCGCUCCCGACACCUUGCAGACCCUGUUCUACGAAGAGGCGACACUACUUUGAGCAGAACCCGCUGACCUGCGAGUGUAGAUGCUGGCUCUCCCACCGCAAGUGCCGGGACCGCGGGCAGGAGCUGAACGAGCACACGUGCAGGUGCGAGAAGCAGAGGCGGUGAUGUGACGGAGAAGCACAGAGCGUUCUGGACUCGUGGACUGAGACUCACCCCGGUGAGGGGGUGGGGCAAUGCGGGACCUGCCACCCCCUCACAUCCUGAUCGACUAGCUGAACGAGUCCCCCCACCCCUUCCUCUCCUCUCCCUCUCCCCUCCACUCUCUCCCUCCUUCCCCUUCCCUCUCCCUUCCCCUCUCCCCCUCCUUCCCCUUCUCUCUCCCCUUCCUCUCCUCUCCCUCUCCCCUCCACUCUCCCCCUCCUUCCCCUUCCCUCUCCCCGUCCCUCUCCACUCCCCCUCCCCUUCCUCUCCUCUCCCCUCUCCCCCUCCUAUCCUCUCUCCCUUUCUCCUAUCCUUUAUCCUCCCCCUCUCCUUUCCUCUUCCCCCUCUCCUCUCCUUCCCAAUUUCCCCUCCCCUCCACCCUCCUUGGCCCCCUUCCUCCCCCUUCUCUAUCACUCCUUCUCUCCCCCACCUUCUCUACCCCCUCUCUCACUCUCUCCAUCUCGCUUUCUUUUUCCCCCUCCCUCUCUCUUCACAUCCCUCUCCCUCGCUCUCUCCUCUUUCCCCUCCUGCCCCGUUUCUCCACUCGCCAUCCCAUCAGCGGAACCUGUCCGCCUUCCGACUGUGUCUACGCCUCCCCUUACCACCCCCGCCCUGUUCUGCGGAGCGACGCCGGCUUUGUGCCCGAGCGAGCUUGGAGCUGUGGGCCGGUGUCUCGACGAGAUCCCCUUUCGCCGCGUCCGGUGGAGACGAGACUGCAUCUCUCCUUCCGCCUAACCAGCCACAGAUCGGCCUCCGGGCGGCCCUGGGAGGGAACCACGGAGAGGCUGAUCCGGGGAGCAGUCUUCGACAGAACCCGUGCCUCCCACCGAUAACCAGGACAUUAAUCCCAAGGAGCUGCCUGCCUCCUGCACGAACACUUAACUCCUCCCGGAGGAUAUUAAACUGCAUUAACCAGCUGGGACAGAUCUGCCUGUCCUGUUCGCAAUAUUAACCAUUACAGGACCAAGUUAAGCUGUUAGCAUUAUUGAUAGCAUAGACGUCUGGGUACAGCGUUCACUGUCAGUUGCUGGGACUUGCCCAUGCCUUAUUUAAGCAUUGUUUAUUUUAUUCUUUGCGCUUUUUAAUUUAAUGUUUAAUAAAGUGACUGCCUUUUUCUGAA